rfam:Streptococcus dysgalactiae subsp. equisimilis RE378 DNA, complete genome.
CAUCCUGUGCAACCGCACGAAAAUCGUUGUCAAGUAGACCAAGUCUCACGAUUCCAGGCGAGUCUUCACAGAGGG